AAGUUUAAGGAAGCCUUUUAAGAGGUGGAAGUGGGCAGAAGACAUGCUGACUCCUCAGAGCUCAUAAAGAGAGCAGCAAGCGGAGAGCUGGCAGGGAAGAGAGCAGAGGUGGAAGCCAAGAGGUGACAGAGGUCUGGUUGGUGUGGCCCAUCUUGGUGGGUGAUGACAGAUGCCACUUCAGCCUGGUGUUUGAGCUGGGGAGGGCCACGUGGAUUCCACUGCCUGUGCACGGACAUAUCCAGUGUCUGCCAGUUACCUGGGGAAGGCUGUGAUGCCAUGAACAGUCCACAGGCGGCCGACUCCAGGGCAG
rnacentral:lncRNA from 1 species